rnacentral:rRNA from 1 species
GAUGAACGCUAGCGGCAUGCCUAACACAUGCAAGUCGAGGGGUAGAAGGAGCUUCUUCCUUUGAGACCGGCGCACGGGUGCGUAACGCGUAUGCAAUCUACCUUGUACAGGGGAGUAGCCCAGAGAAAUUUGGAUUAAUGCCCCAUAGUAUAUAACUUUCGCAUGUUGGUUAUCUUAAAGUUCCAACGGUACAAGAUGAGCAUGCGUCCCAUUAGUUAGUUGGUAAGGUAAUGGCUUACCAAGACGAUGAUGGGUAGGGGUCCUGAGAGGCAGAUCCCCCGCACUGGUACUGAGACACGGACCAGAAUCCUACGCAGCGCAGCAGUAUGGAAUAUUGGUGGAGGGACGCAAGACUAAACCAGCCGUGCCGGGUGCAGGAGUACGGUCAUAGGGAAUGUAAGCUGCUUUGAUACAGGAAGAAUCCAUCCCACGUGUGGGGGCUUGACGGUACUGAAGGAAUAAGGAACGGCUAACUCCGUG